rnacentral:rRNA from 1 species
UACAGAGGUGGCAAGCGUUGUUCGGAAUUACUGGGCGUAAAGGGCGCGUAGGCGGCCUUCUAAGUCAGACGUGAAAUCCCCCGGCUUAACCUGGGAACUGCGUCUGAUACUGGAGGGCUUGAGUAUGGGAGAGGGAUGUAGAAUUCCAGGUGUAGCGGUGAAAUGCGUAGAUAUCCGGAGGAACACCGGUGGCGAAGGCGGCUUCCUGGACCGACACUGACGCUGAGGCGCGAAAGCUAGGGGAGCAAACGGG